rnacentral:rRNA from 1 species
AGAGUUUGAUCCUGGCUCAGGACGAACGCUGGCGGCGUGCCUAACACAUGCAAGUCGAACGGAAGUUAGAGCUUCGGUUUUAACUUUAGUGGCGAACGGGUGAGUAACGCGUGAGGAACCUGCCUUUCAGUGGGGGACAACAGUUGGAAACGACUGCUAAUACCGCAUAAUGCUUUUUGAUGGCAUCAUUGAAAAGCCAAAGAUUUAUUGCUGAAAGAUGGCCUCGCGUCUGAUUAGCUAGUUGGUGGGGUAACGGCUCACCAAGGCGACGAUCAGUAGCCGGUCUGAGAGGAUGAACGGCCACAUUGGGACUGAGAUACGGCCCAGACUCCUACGGGAGGCAGCAGUGGGGAAUAUUGGGCAAUGGGGGAAACCCUGACCCAGCAACGCCGCGUGAAGGAAGAAGGCCUUCGGGUUGUAAACUUCUUUUACCAGGGACGAAGGACGUGACGGUACCUGGAGAAAAAGCAACGGCUAACUACGUGCCAGCAGCCGCGGUAAUACGUAGGUUGCAAGCGUUGUCCGGAUUUACUGGGUGUAAAGGGCGUGUAGGCGGAGAUGCAAGUUGGGAGUGAAAUCCAUGGGCUCAACCCAUGAACUGCUCUCAAAACUGUAUCCCUUGAGUAUCGGAGAGGCAAGCGGAAUUCCUAGUGUAGCGGUGAAAUGCGUAGAUAUUAGGAGGAACACCAGUGGCGAAGGCGGCUUGCUGGGCCUUUACUGACGCUGAGGCUCGAAAGCGUGGGGAGCAAACAGGAUUAGAUACCCUGGUAGUCCACGCCGUAAACGAUGAUUACUAGGUG